AGUAGUGGACAAAGAGGAAUUGUAAAUCAGGGAUGGAUGGAAAAUCCUUGUCUUUGUGACUGGUGUCUGCACUUUCUCAUUGGCUGUGUGUGUGUGUGUGUGUGUGUGUGUGUGCGUGUGCGUGUGCAUGUGCACACUUCCAUUUGUUCUCAGGGCGACCAGAUCUCCGGUCUCUGAACAAACCUCCCUCUGUUGCCGUUUGAUUGCGGUCAUUUAAAAUGUUAACAUGACAUGUUUGAGUGGUUAUCAGCUGAAUAAGACAUGUUUAUUUAACCUGAAGUGUCCCCUGGCUGUUAUAUAGAGGAUUGUCCUCAUCCCGCAAAAUGACCUCCAGUGGUUAAAGUUCCUCACUGAGUCGCUCCUAUACGUCCAUGUUAAACGUAGGUUUCUUGAGGAGAGAUGUGCUCUCCUCAAGAAACCACAGGGGCCCGUGGCGCCCUGAACACCACCACAAGGCUCCACUCGGCACUGUGGGGAAGAACAAAGCGGGGGCCGUCAGUGAAGUGAAUCAUGGCUGGAGGAAUAAAGGUAAAGUAUAGCGGCUUCUCUGUGCCGGCUCUCUGCAGCAGCUAGCUCUCCUGCAGAACAGAUCCCAUAAACUUAAAGAGACGGGUCCCCCUGUCCACUUAACCGCUGACCCGACCACACGACCCCCAGAGCUGCUGAGCGUCCGGCUGUUGAAGCGGUUCUUUCGACCAGAACGCCCUGCUCAGCACCGGGGGCGGGCGUUGGGUGGGGUCGCACUCAUUUGACUUUAUGUUCAUUCUCGGGCCGUCCCUGGUCUCUGCUGCAGGGACUGGAUUAUGGAUUUAACAGUUGAAAUCCCUCUCCAACCUCAGAGCUCAUUCACGCCCUUUCAAAGAAAUACAAUCUAUGGAAGUAGGACAGGUCAUAGUUACAACGUUUUGGUUCUGCUGCCCUGAAGGGUGUGUUGGUAGACAGCUGACCAUCUGAUCCACACUGACAGUGCUGACCCUAGUGGGAGCCAUGUUAUACACAAGUACUGACACCAGUGUAAGUACUGACUCUAGUGGGAGCAUCUGUUAACCAAAGUACUGACAGUGUUCCUCCAGUGCUGUCACAUGCCGCUCUGGGUCAACGUGAUGUUCCAUAUCCUGUCCUGACGUUUACGACGUGUGUCACAUGGGGAGCCUCUCUUAAACCAAUGUGAUACUCUUGGUUUGCCUUUUAUCUUAAUGACUGUUUGCCUGCUUCUCAUUCAACCCUUGCUCAAAGUAUGCAUUGAGGUAUCAUGCCACAUCAGGAGGGUUGCCAUGGGGACGAUUCCAUUCCCCAGUGUUUUGCCAGCUCCAUGGCAACCUCCAUCUUCAGACUACAGACCAAGUGGGACAAUGCUGCCAUUCUUUCCAUACUUCAUCACUUUCUUUAUUCAGAUAUGAACACUAAUCUAUCUGAUAUGCGGUUGGAUGCAGCACCCAUGCAGUAGUUAGUACUACUAUUUAGUCAUUCGGGAGACUCCUGUAACCAAAGCACCACGACAGAUAGAACCUAGCAGUAAUGAGCAGGCCUGGGUUCAUGGGCAUUGUGCAGAACCAUGCCUCCAGACGGACUGAGGUCAUGGAUGCCUCCAGACGGACUGAGGUCAUGGGUCCAACAUGGAUGGCUCCAGACGGACUGAGGUCAUGGGUCCAACAUGGAUGGCUCCAGACGGAUCGAGGUCAUGGGGUCCAACAUGGAUUUCUUGCAGCAACUAUCUUGGAUUUAAUUAAAAUAUUUACAAAACAAAUAAGGGUAAAUGUUAAACCAGAAGACUGGAUCAGCCUUGUUGGGGCCACAGCCGCGCCUAGGAACCUGUCUGCCUGUCAGUCCUUCAGCCAGGGGAUCUGAAAUAAGGUGAACUGUAGACAGGAGACCUCCUCCAAGCAUGGAGGAGGUGAACCGUUUAGGACAUCUUUAAUAACUUGCCAGUUAUUAAUACAUAAACAAACAAGAAGAGAUGAUUAGGGAGUAAACUUAUAAAAAUUGUAAAUGCAUUUUUCUGCGUUCAGUAUUCCAAGCAGA
ensembl:lncRNA